GACGAACGCUGGCGGCGUGCUUAACACAUGCAAGUCGAGCGGAGCGAAUGAAAGCUUGCUUUUAUAAGCUUAGUGGCAAACGGGUGAGUAACACGUAGACAACCUGCCGACAGGAUGGGGACAACAUUCCGAAAGGAAUGCUAAUACCGAAUGAAGUCGAGGGAAGGCAUCUUCCUUCGAUGAAAGAUGGCCUCUAUAUAUAAGCUAUCACCUGUUGAUGGGUCUGCGUCUGAUUAGCUGGUAGGUGAGGUAACGGCUCACCUAGGCGACGAUCAGUAGCCGGUCUGAGAGGAUGAACGGCCACAUUGGGACUGAGACACGGCCCAGACUCCUACGGGAGGCAGCAGUGGGGAAUCUUCCGCAAUGGGCGCAAGCCUGACGGAGCAACGCCGCGUGAGUGAAGAAGGUCUUCGGAUCGUAAAGCUCUGUUGAUGGGGACGAACGUGCCUAAUGCGAAUAGUUUUAGGU
rnacentral:rRNA from 1 species